CUGUAGGCUAGAGGAUCUUCCGAGAAGUAAGGGCAGAAGGUUCCUUGCCCCACCCUACUGGGGAAGGGGCCUAGCGGGGGGGCCCUGGAACCUGCUAACCAGGAUGUCUGGGUUCUUCCCCCAGCUCUGCUUCUGAGGCACCCAGCGGAUCCGGGCAAUUUGCCCCCCUCGUUGGUAGAGGCCAUGGUAGCUGCUUGCUCUGACCACGUUUCCCGGCACUUGCCUCACUUCUCUGGACGUUGGGGGGUAUUUUCGUGAGGUCCCAGAGAACCACAGUCUGCUUAGCUUCUAGAAAACCAUGUUCACAUUCAUGGAAGGCUUUAGGAACUAGUACUUAACUAUUAUCUUUGGGGACUAGUACUCCAUCUUACUGAAGAUGGUAAAAACGUCCUGUGUACCGCAAGCAAUUGGAGGGGCCUGAUUUGAACCCAAGUCUGUGUCAGAGGUCCCAAGUCCUGAGAGCGGAAGGCGCCCCGAGGCAGGUUACAGGGCCCACAAGGCGGGCAACUGGACAUGGGGGUGGGAUGGGAGGCGCCAAAGGGCGGCAGAGGUUGGGGGUGUGGUGGUUUGACCACGGUGUAACUACCUUCAGCUGCCGGGCUAAGCCUCCUGUUACCUGGAAGAUAGAAGGAACUGGGAGUGGGGAACGGAGCAACCUGGGCUUCCAUGAUGAAGAGACAGCGCAGGAGCAAAAUGCCCAGGAAGGAGGAAGGGAGACCAGAGGAAGGAGGAGGCGCCUCUUCCACCCGCGUCCCCAGAUCCCCAUGUUAGCCUGGCGAGGAAGAUAAAGACACUUACAACCAAGAUGGUAAUCACGAGUGGAAAUGAUGAAGACAGAGGAGGUCAGGAAAGAGAGAGCAAAGAGGAGAGUGUCUUGGCAAUGCUGGGGAUCGUCGGGACCAUUCUGAACCUGAUUGUGAUCAUAUUUGUCUACAUAUACACCACGCUGUGAAUGGUCCAGAGCAUCCUCAGCGCCCUCAGGAUGGCCAAAGACAGGAGUCCUGCGUGUUGGCGGAUCACUGGCCAAACCCUGCAGGAACAAGCAGGCUUGACCCACACACGCCGCCCAAUCAAAUGCACCUUCACACUUUAUAAAAGGUCACACAAAUAGACCAAACCUGCUGCAGGGAGCAGAAGACACUAAAGCACAAUGAUUCCAACAGAACUCAUUCGCAGCACUAGGAACUCAACGUCUUUGGCAGGGGGCCCAGAAGAAUGCUUGGAAGACCAGCCUCUGACACCAUCGGUGAGCGGAUGGGUGCAGACCUUCAUUAUUCCAGAUCGCUGACAGAUAUCACGUAUUUGAAAAGAUGAAUAGGGCGGACAUGGCUCGGAUGCGUGUCUCCCAGGACAAGUGUUUCAUCUUCACUUGAUAAGCUAUUUAGUGGAAAAACCACAGGGGCAACCCUUUGCAGGCAUCCCAUUCAUCAAAAGUGUCUAUUUGAUACCGGGGAGAUAACUUAUUUUUCUUUUUUCAUCGGCUUGACGUGUGUAUCUGUUCAUAUCAAGGUUUAUAAAUAUAUAUUUUUAAUAAAUGUGUUCUAUUUUUUAGCAUGAACCAAAUACUUGGAGAGGCACUCCGAGAUCCAUAGAGCUUUCCUUGAUUUUAUCUGCUUUGCCUACGCCCCUCCCCCAACUGCAGAUGUUCUCUUGUCUCAUCUUGAGUCUUUUACUUUUGCUCUCUUGUUCUCUCUCUCUCUCCCUCUCUCUCUCUCCCCCCCCCUCCCCCUCUCUCUCCUUCUCCUUCUCCUUCUCCUUCUCUGUCUCUCUGCCUCUUUGGUCUGAAGGACAUUUUCCCAUUCCACCAGCCAUGGUUUUGGUUGGCGCAUGUUUUAAGAUUGUCCAUUGAGUGGCUUUUUGUUGUUAUAUCCAAGAUAUAAAACGAUUGUGGGCAUGCAGACCUAGAUGCACCAUUGUCUUUACUGAGAAUUAUGCAUGAAUAAGGGCUGAGUGAUAGAUCAGCUUGAAAUGCAAAGGACUACCAUUGAGAAAGAAGAGCGUGGCUGUGUUUGCGGAUGAACUUUUGAACGGAAUAUUCACCUUCUUACUGGCAGCAUUAUUAUUUCAUUCUUGUGACCAUUUGUUUAUCAGAUUUUGAUUUUAGUGGUCGUGCACUGUGAGAGUUGGGAAGAACAAGGCAGAAAGCUCAGUACUAGGUGCAUUACUCCUUCCUUUACAAGAUACCCGGGAUCCUCUUCAAAAGUGGGUGGGGUGUAAAUGACACGUGAACUCCCCGCUGAGAGCUCAUGGUGGUUCAGGCUGUGAGGAUAGCCCUGUGACAAGUGACUUUUACUGGGCAUGAGGAGGGGAUUUAAUGACUGCCCUAAAGGACUGCUGCAUUUUUUAAGCCCUUGGUUUAUACCAACAUGAAGCUACUUUCUCUCUGGCAGGGAUGGUUGAAUAAAAACAAAUUAGCUCCCUUCUCCUGGCUCCCUGAAAUAGGCCCUUGCCUGGCUACAGUGGCAUGGCCUUAACGAGAGGGUUAGUAUUCCUUCUGUCAUUGCCAGCUGAAUUAGUCCAUCUUCACCCUGCUGAUAAAGACAUCCCCAAGACUCGGCAAUUUCCAGAGAAAGAGGUUUAUUGGACUUACAGUUCCACGUGGCUGAGGAGGCCUCACCAUCACAGUGGAAGGUGAAAGGCAAGUCUCACGUGGUGGCAGAUGAGAAGGGAACACGUGUGCAAGGAGACUCCCCUUUUUAAAACAAUCAGAUCUCGUGAGACUUAUUCACUGUCACGCGAAUAGCAUGGGAAACCUGCCCCCAUGAUUCAGUUACCUCCCGCUGGGUCCGUUCUACAACAUGUGGGAAUUUAAGAUGAGAUUUAGGUGGGGGCACAGCCAGACUGUAUCACCAGCCUUGACCCUGGGCAGAAGCAGCAGCAGUCUGCCUGGCUGGAUCAAAUGAUCCUGAGGCUUCUAUAGUCUAUGCCUCCAGAUCUCUCCCUCACCCAUGCUAUGGUGUCUGAAAUUCCACCAUUAGAGAGUCCUUUCUUGGGCUCUGUUAAAGGAAAAAUGCUCUUUUAUAAAGCAAAUGCCCCUGAGCAGCUGGCCCUGGCGUCGAUUUAUCAGACGUCUUCUCAUCCCGGCCAGAAGGAAGGAAGCUAAGGUGCAUAGAGGGCAUACUGUGUGCUCAGGCACUGUGCCAGAUGCUUCAGUUACCUAGAAUCAUCGAAUUCUCAUAGUAACGCUGUGAGAGAGGGAGUCUUUCCCACACAUUGUAGAGAAGAAUAAAGGGCUCAGAAAGAUCAAGAAAUGUCCCUGAGAGAUCAGACCGCUACUAGUAGAGUCAGGAUCCAAACCCGAUGUAUCUGAUUCCUUCACCCUUGGGGCUCCAGAAGCUCCUGAGCAAGAGAGGAAGUGGAGAGGUGAGAAAGCCGCAGGAAGACCACCACACGCCCUUCUCCCUCCCCUGUAAAAACCCUGGGAACUUUUUGGACACUGGCAGAAUAUCAUACACUAAGGACAAGAGACGAGAGGAGGCUGGUUAGAAAUUAAUGUCAGGGAGAAGGAGCUACUCAGUAGGCUCUGUGUGAUUCUAGAAAGACUGUAUGAAAAUUCUGAACAGUUAACAGAAUAAACAAUAAAGGUGCAAUGGAAAAAAUACUUGAUGUCUCUUCUUUCAAAAUUAUGGGAUAUGAAAUGAUUCAAUGUCAUUCCUUUGCCUAUACAUAGUGUUAUUUUUUUAAAAAAAAACUGAGUGUGAUGCUGUUAAAUGGAGACUUUUGUUUGGACUAUGGAAGCCUCCAUGAAUUUUCAAGUAUACUAAUUUAAAAUGUAUUGAGAGGGAAAAGGGCCUUUCCAGUCCUCUGCUCCGAGACGAGAGGAGGCACCACAGCUCCAGCGUGCCCUGUCUUAUUUCUUUUCUAAUUUAGUAGAGACCACGAACACGCACUGGGCAAACUCAGCUUCCCCCAGAUCUGAAGCCAUCGCGAAGGGAC
rnacentral:lncRNA from 1 species